GACGAACGCUGGCGGCGUGCCUAACACAUGCAAGUCGAACGGAAAGGCCGUGCUUUUGUGGGGUGCCCGAGUGGCGAACGGGUGAGUAACACGUGAGUAACCUGCCCUUGAAUUUAGGGUAACUUAAGGAAACUGGGGCUAAUACAGGAUAGGAGGUCCUGCUGCAUGGUGGGGGAUGGAAAGUUUCGGCGGUGGGGGGUGGACUCGCGGGUCAUCAGCUUGUUGGUGGGGUAGUGGCUUACCAAGGCUUUGACGGGUAGCCGGACUGAGAGGGUGACCGGCUUCAUUGGGGCUCCAGUACGGCCCAGACUCCUACAGGAGGCAGCAGUGGGGAAUCUUGCACAAUGGGGGGAUGCCUGAUGUAACAACGCCGCGUGCGGAAUGACGGCCUGCGGGUUGUAAACGGCUUUGGAGUGUGACGAAGCGUAAGAGACGGUAAUGGAUGAAGAAGCGCCGGCUAACUUCGUG
rnacentral:rRNA from 1 species